AGGACAAUUCUUCUGAAUUUCUUAUUCCAGUUAUCCAAAUUAAACAUACAUAAUAUGUCUUUAAACCUUUUUUUAAAGCACUUUAUUUUUCAAGGUGCUUUAGUUGGACUGAAUUUUCAACUCUUAACUAUUCGUCACAGAUGCAUUUUUAUUUAUUUUUUAAUUCAUUGACAUUGAUGGAUCCUUUGAAGCAGCACUUGAAAGGAUUUUUAAGAAAAGCAUCUUUGCAUGAUGUGCUGAGCCAGCAGCUCGUGUGACCUGUAUAUGUCUGAUCGCUUUAGUUUACGCUAUUGCACUCGAAUACAUUACCAUCCGCAAUUCACCUCAACCCAGUAAUAUAUCAAACGUUGAUUUUCCUAACUAAAAACGGCACGCCUAGUUCUUUCAGGUACAGCAUAGUUCAAAACAAUUCGAAACGACAAAAUAACCUUGCUUUUCAAAUAUUCACAUGAAAAAUGUACCACACAAGGUUAUGUAUUCACAAGCGCGAGCACGUGAGUCUCAUUGCAGAUCAGGGUUGUUGACUAAUGUCUUCACCCGAUUCGUUUUUGCCCUUUUGUCAUUUCAAAUCACGAGUUUGCUCCCCCGGGUGCAGACAAGGAUCAGGUUUUUUCAGGGUUUUGGCCGGUUCCUGGUAGCAGCAGUCCAUCGACCCAGAGCACUUCACUGUAAGCUAGCCUAGCACAGGAAAUGGAAGACACAAGUAAUGAAAUAUUAAUGCGGAAUCAUGAGAGGGUCCAAUGAAAUCCAUUAAAGUGAGGAAAAUCAAUGGAACAUGGCCCCACAAGCCUCUCAGCCGGCCUGAGGAGUCGACCGGAUCACAUGUCGUUUUCUUCGUCUUUAUGGACCUUCGAAUCUCAAACAUCUGAUAUCCAAAUCAUCUCCUUAAACCCUCGGAUCUAUACAUGUGUACCAAUGGAGACCUAGUAAGGCUGGCAGGAUAUGAUGCGACCACAACAUCAGCAGGGACCCGAAAGGCCUGGCGGAUGAUGUCAGCUGAGCCGCUUUGGAUCCUGGGCUUUGCAUUCUGUCAAGUGGGCAGAUGAGAGGCUCCAGGCUAACAGAUGGCGACGAGGGUCCAGGUGCUUCACCUCCUCCUGUUUCAGCCCGAUUGAUCUCGUUUUCUGAUUGUCCUCCUGAACCAUCAGGGCACGCGUGGCCCUCUGGGAUGCCGAGGGACGAAACUUCAGAGGCCUUUGAUACGAGACUCUCUUUUUGACGGCUCCCAUUCACUGCAGAGGAUCCAUUGGUGAGCAAGUUCAUUAGUGCUACAUUUCUCCAAAUCUGAUGAAGAAACAAACUUAUCUACAUCUUGGAUAGCCAGAGAGUGAGUAAAUUUUCAGCAAAUUUUCAUUUUUGGGUGAACUGUUUCUUUAAGAAGCGUUCAUGCUGACAGCUUUAUCACUGCAAAUUGACCAGAAUUAAUUCAUUUUUGACAAACAUCAGUUAUUUCACAGACUGUUGACGAUGUGACAAAUUUGAGUAGAUUUAACAGCAUUAAGUUAUUAUUCAUAGGUAUAAGCACUUUUUUUAAUCCAUUUUCCAUUAUUGUCUUAAUUAAUAAGGUCAGUUUGACUGUUUUUUUUAUGGGACUGUUUCUCUAACAUUGGCACAAUAACAUGCAUGUUUUUAUUAUA